AUUAAAGGAAAUAAGAGCGCACAGUGGAUGCCUAGGCACCAAGAGUUGAUGAAGGACGA
rnacentral:rRNA from 1 species